AUGAUUGUCAGCGGAAGUGUAGUGAAAAUGACAACUAGGGUCCUUAACGUGUGUGCAGGCAUGGCUGUUGGUCUGCUUGGUCAGUGCAGCUGUACCAUGUUCCUGCAUUUACCAUCCAUGGUGGGGAGGUGGACUGGUGUUCAUCAGCCCUUCUUUGUCACAGCAGGUCUGGCUGAGGUCUUCAGAUGCCACCAACCCUGGUGGAGAAAUUGCAUUUGCUUGGGCCAAACCAGUGUGAUCCUGGUAGCACUGACACUCCUGGAGCUGCCUUUAGUGGUACAAAGGGGUAGAGGUACGUGCCUUAUGUCCAGUUUGGAAACGUUCAGUUUCUCCUCCCAGAGAUCUGGAGAUCUCCAGGAGUAUUCUUUCCACAGCUGAUAUUGAGCGGGGGAUGAGGACUGGUGUCAUUUCCUGGCAGCCACAGCAGAAGAUGAGCAGAAGGCCACUCAGGAAUGCAGCACAUGGUACAGUCACAUAAGGAAACCUCACUGUUCUGGGGAACUGUUUGCUGGGUAAGCUCUGAAUUAACAGUGUAGAAGACUAGGAAAUGUAAUAGAAAUGCACAGAAAAGAACUAAUUUUAAGUUUGCUGGAAUAAAUGAGGCCCUUCUGAGGAUAGAGGGAAAUAGCCAUAUUGAUUUCUCUCAGUCAUUUCCAUAAGAGCCAAUAGUGCUAGAAAUUCUCUCCCACAACAACCUGGCUUUGUGUUACCUACCAUCAUUGUCUGGAUUCAGCCACAGCUUCUUAUGUCUUUACUAUAAGAAGUCAGGCACCUUUCCUUUCUAUCAAGUAGCAAAUUACAUGCAUGGUUCUUUCUUCUCACACAGAGGAUGGUGACACACUAGAACAGAUUGCCCAAAAAGGUUGUGGAUGCCCCAUCCCUGGAGGCAUUCAAGGCUGGAUGGGGGCUCUGGGCAGCCUGGUCUGGUGGUUGGCAGCCCUGCACACAGCCAGGAGGGUUUUCAACCCAGGCCAUUCUACGAUUCUAUGAUUCAGUAAUUCUUCUGAGCCCACUGCUCAUCAGCCAAACUACGACACUUUCCCUUGCUUGAAUUUCUGUAGACUUCCGCUUGUAUGGCAUCCCAUUUCUGUAGCAUUUUCCUGAAUCUUCUCAAAAUAUAAACCUCUAGUUUCCUAAAAUGGCCUAAACAAGCACAAGUAAUUAGUCUUGGCUAUCAAUUACCCCUCUUCCUUCAACCAAGGUUUUUGAAGCUACCUUUUUCUGCUGCAGGGCAACACUGUCUGAUUGUACGGUCUGCAACACACUCUGAUUGUGUCCUUUGCUGUUUUAGAAACAGAGCUACUUAAACAUUAAGUACAGCUAUUCACUUCAUUAUCUUACUUGUCUAGUCCUCUACUGCACGGAAUACUUGGUUUUCUUUUCAGUACUGGGUUUAAUUUCAAAGUCAUAGGAGGCAAUCUCUGGUGCCCACCAGCUUUCUUUUUUACCUUUCUUUCUCAAUAGGUAAAUUUUUGAACUGAUUUUUGAACAGAACACAGUUGGCCUUCUGGGCUGCAAGUGCCCACUGCAGGCUCACGUCCAGCUUUUCAUCCACCAGGAACCCCAAGUCCUUUCUCUGCAGGGCUACUCUCAAGGAGUUCUUCUCCCAGUCUAUACUUGUAUCUGGGAUUGCCCCCACCAGGUGCAGCACCCUGCACUUGGCCUUGUUGAACCUCAUUAGGUUCUCACAGGCCCACUUUUCAAGCCUGUCCAGGUCCCUCUGGAUGGCUUCCUUCUUUCUAUUGUAUUGAGUGCACCCCACAGCUUGGUGUCAUUGGUAAACUUGCUGAGGAUGCUCUCAAUCCCACUGCCUAUGUCAUUGAUAAAGAUGUUGAAAAGCACAAUAAACCCACAAAUCAACAAACUGAGAAUGAUUCAAGUAACAUUUUAUUCACAAGUAAAAAAAAAAGAAGUAAUACAAAGCAAUUUAUACAAGGUUUUAAUUUACAUUCUUUAAAAGAUGAUUUAAAACAGCACUGUAAGUCCAUAGAUGUGAUAUGUGGGCAGUCAAAAUGCGGUGGUAGUGUUUGUUUUCUGUUGGCAUGUACAACAUUGCUUGCCACAGGCAAUAUAAAAAAGACCAAUUUGGUUAAAUUAAGGAAAGAAAUAUAUACACAAUAUACAUAUAUUCGAAAAGCACUCUUUUCAUUUUUCCUCCCUCUUUGCUCCGAAGCCAUCUGUCACUCAUGUGAAGAUAAGAGUCCUUCUAUCUGGAGUUGCCGGACAAAAACAUACGAAGUGUAAAUUCCAGUGGGAAAACAUACUUACUGUGACAGAUGCUGGCAAAAUUUUUGAACACAGUAUUUUAAAGAACUGUUAAUAAUGAGAAGUUAAAAAUCCACAUGUUCUAAAAAUAUCUUUCCAUGUAAUGAAAUGCAUAUUGGAUUUUUUCUAUUUACAGAUAUUUACAAAGAAGCACACAUCUCUUCACGCACAUUUAGUGAAAAAUAAUAUUUCAACACUUCUUAAAUGUGUGAAAGCAUUCAAAGAAUUUAUUCAAAACUAUUCUUAUUCGAGUAUACACUUUUCAGUAUUAAGUUAUGUAAUUAUACUCCUUGUAUAACUGAGUAUUAUUCUACAUAAG
ensembl:lncRNA